rnacentral:misc_RNA from 1 species
GAAUCGCAUUCUUCUAAAGAAGCAUUGCAUUUGAACAAUUGCAAAAAAAGGGCCAAAUAGGAAAUGCUCUAAUUAUGAAAUUGAUGCAUAAGCAUCAUUACUUUAAAACGGAAGUAAAAUAUGUAGUGAUGGGACCAAAACUGACAUUCAUAAAUCACAAGCAUCAAAAUAGAUAAAUAAGAUUCUACCAUAAAAUAACAAAGAUAAAGAGCCGAAUUUAAGAAGCAAGAGAACCAGCAAAAGUCAAGUAGAAAGAUAUUUGGAUCAGAUAUAGAAAAGAAAAGGAAA